rnacentral:rRNA from 1 species
GCUGGCGGCAGGCCUAACACAUGCAAGUCGAACGGUAACAGGAAGAAGCUUGCUUCUUUGCUGACGAGUGGCGGACGGGUGAGUAAUGUCUGGGAAACUGCCUGAUGGAGGGGGAUAACUACUGGAAACGGUAGCUAAUACCGCAUAACGUCGCAAGACCAAAGAGGGGGACCUUCGGGCCUCUUGCCAUCGGAUGUGCCCAGAUGGGAUUAGCUAGUAGGUGGGGUAAAGGCUCACCUAGGCGACGAUCCCUAGCUGGUCUGAGAGGAUGACCAGCCACACUGGAACUGAGACACGGUCCAGACUCCUACGGGAGGCAGCAGUGGGGAAUAUUGCACAAUGGGCGCAAGCCUGAUGCAGCCAUGCCGCGUGUAUGAAGAAGGCCUUCGGGUUGUAAAGUACUUUCAGCGGGGAGGAAGGGAGUAAAGUUAAUACCUUUGCUCAUUGACGUUACCCGCAGAAGAAGCACCGGCUAACUCCGUGCCAGCAGCCGCGGUAAUACGGAGGGUGCAAGCGUUAAUCGGAAUUACUGGGCGUAAAGCGCACGCAGGCGGUUUGUUAAGUCAGAUGUGAAAUCCCCGGGCUCAACCUGGGAACUGCAUCUGAUACUGGCAAGCUUGAGUCUCGUAGAGGGGGGUAGAAUUCCAGGUGUAGCGGUGAAAUGCGUAGAGAUCUGGAGGAAUACCGGUGGGGAAGGCGGCCCCCUGGACGAAGACUGACGCUCAGGUGCGAAAGCGUGGGGAGCAAACAGGAUUUAGAUACCCUGGUAGUCCACGCCGUAAACGAUGUCGACUUGGAGGUUGUGCCCUUGAGGCGUGGCUUCCGGAGCUAACGCGUUAAGUCGACCGCCUGGGGAGUACGGCCGCAAGGUUAAAACUCAAAUGAAUUGACGGGGGCCCGCACAAGCGGUGGAGCAUGUGGUUUAAUUCGAUGCAACGCGAAGAACCUUACCUGGUCUUGACAUCCACAGAACCUUGUAGAGAUACGAGGGUGCCUUCGGGAACUGUGAGACAGGUGCUGCAUGGCUGUCGUCAGCUCGUGUUGUGAAAUGUUGGGUUAAGUCCCGCAACGAGCGCAACCCUUAUCCUUUGUUGCCAGCGGUCCGGCCGGGAACUCAAAGGAGACUGCCAGUGAUAAACUGGAGGAAGGUGGGGAUGACGUCAAGUCAUCAUGGCCCUUACGACCAGGGCUACACACGUGCUACAAUGGCGCAUACAAAGAGAAGCGACCUCGCGAGAGCAAGCGGACCUCAUAAAGUGCGUCGUAGUCCGGAUUGGAGUCUGCAACUCGACUCCAUGAAGUCGGAAUCGCUAGUAAUCGUGGAUCAGAAUGCCACGGUGAAUACGUUCCCGGGCCUUGUACACACCGCCCGUCACACCAUGGGAGUGGGUUGCAAAAGAAGUAGGUAGCUUAACCUUCGGGAGGGCGCUUACCACUUUGUGAUUC